UGACCUCGAAUCAGGUAGGAAUACCCGCUGAACUUAAGCAUAUCAAUAAG
rnacentral:rRNA from 1 species